GAUGAACGCUAGCUACAGGCUUAACACAUGCAAGUCGAGGGGAAACGGCAUCGAAAGCUUGCUUUUGAUGGGCGUCGACCGGCGCACGGGUGAGUAACGCGUAUCCACCCUGCCCAUCACUUGCGAAUAACCUUGCGAAAGUAAGACUAAUGCCCAAUGACAUCCCACGAAGGCAUCCGAAUGGGAUUCAAGAUUUAUCGGUGAUGGAUGGGGAUGCGUCUGAUUAGCUUGUUGGCGGGGUGACGGCCCACCAAGGCAACGAUCAGUAGGGGUUCUGAGAGGAAGGUCCCCCACAUUGGAACUGGGACACGGUCCAAACUCCUACGGGAGGCAGCAGUGAGGAACAGUGGGCAAUGGGCGAGAGCCUGAACCAGCCAAGUAGCGUGCAGGAUGACGGCGCUAUGGGUUGUAAACUGCUUUUAUAAGGGAAUAAAGUGGGUCACGGGGGACUUAUUGCAUGUACCUGAUGAAUAAGGACCGGCUAAUUCCGUG
rnacentral:rRNA from 1 species